rnacentral:rRNA from 1 species
AUUGAACGCUGGCGGAAUGCUUUACACAUGCAAGUCGAACGGCAGCACGGGGCAACCUGGUGGCGAGUGGCGAACGGGUGAGUAAUACAUCGGAACGUGCCCAAUCGUGGGGGAUAACGUAGCGAAAGUUACGCUAAUACCGCAUACGAUCUACGGAUGAAAGCGGGGGAUCGCAAGACCUCGCGCGAAUGGAGCGGCCGAUGUCAGAUUAGGUAGUUGGUGGGGUAAAGGCUCACCAAGCCAACGAUCUGUAGCUGGUCUGAGAGGACGACCAGCCACACUGGAACUGAGACACGGUCCAGACUCCUACGGGAGGCAGCAGUGGGGAAUUUUGGGACAAUGGGCGCAAGCCUGAUCCAGCCAUUCCGCGUGCAGGAUGAAAGGCCUUCGGUGUAAACUGCUUUGUACGGAACGAAAAGGUACCUGGUAAUACCUGGGCUCAUGAGGUACCGUAAGAAUAAGACACCGGCUAACUACGUAGCCAGCAG